rnacentral:lncRNA from 1 species
CAUCCUGGGGAACAUAAGUAAAAGAGUAUUUAAAUGAUUAUGAUUUGCAGUAAUAUUUAAAAGCCAUCUACAGUUUCAAGCCAAUUGUAAGUACAUUUAAGAUUAUAAUACGGUUUGAAAGGUUAUAUCGUAACUGUCAACAUUUGCUUUAAUGUACAUGUGUUAUCAAGAGUUGUUUUUUUUACAUGUGCAUCUUCUUUUCAUAAAUCUUGAAAUUUUUCGUGGUUUAAUCUAGCUUCAUCAAUUGGCUAUCUUCAAGAACGUUUAACUUUCAUUUGUUUUGAUUUAAUCGGUUAAACUGGUAAUUUUCUGACAAAAGGAAAAUAAAAAAAUAUCAAUGCCAAAGUAUUUGUUCUCUCAUAAGCAACACGACUGGUGCCACAUGUAGAGCAAGAUCUUCCUACCCUUCCGGAGCACCUGAGAUCACCCCUAGUUUUUGGUGGGGUUCGUGUUGUUUAUUUUUUAGUUUUCUAUGUCGUGUCAUGUGUAAUAUUGUUUGUCUGUUUGCCCUUUUCAUUUUUAGCCAUGGCGUUGUCAGUUUAUUUUCGAUUUAUGAGUUUGACUGUCCCUCUGGUAUCUUUCGUCCCUAUUUUAUUGCUGAAAACUGCCUAGCAAAAUUUAACGAGUGUUCUAAUUAUUGUCAAAAUAUACUUUUUCCUUUUGUAUAUUCUCUUAAUUUAAGGCAUCUAACAACAAUUAUUAAUGAAUCUAAAGAGUGUAAUACUAACUAGUAUAUAAACUACUCUUAGACAUAUGCCUUGAUGUGAGAUGUUUAUCUAUAGGUAAAACCAGGCUUAUUCUUCAUUUUAAUUACAAAGUGCUUGUACCAAUGUUAGGAAUAAGAAAGUUUCUGUUAUUUGUUCUGUUGGCUGAACGCCUAACGUUUGACCUUGUCACUGUUAAUGGACUUACCACUUUAGUAUUAACCUUUGAGUACGGUAUGUUUAUGAAUACAACGCUUAUUCUUAUUUUAGAUGCAUCUGGUUUGCGCACAAAAUGUAAUAUUCGGUUGAUAAUAUACAUGUUACAGGAUACCAAACAAAAUGUAAAAAAUAUUUAUUUGUCAAAUUAACUGCAUUUCAUUGACCUAUGUUAAGUAUAUAAUUUCAUUUCUUAAUUUUUUAGAAAAUCAUUUGAUAUUUUAAUUUUUGCUGCGUUUCAUUUAAUAUAGUAAUAACACAUAACAAUGUGUGUGCAUCUUGCGGAAUAUAAGAGGAAGAAUAUUUAAAAAUCAUAACUUGCAUAAAACCUUUUGAUGUCAUUACAAGUUUUAAAUCAAUUGUAAGCACUUUCAAAGAUAUGAUAAUUUUAUAUAUAUAUAUAUAUAUAUAGUUACUGUCAACGCUUACUUUAUGUAUAAACAGGAAUUGUGUUUUUAAUUUUGAGUCAUCUGCUUUAGUAAAGCAGGAACGUUUUUUGUUGUUUAAUCUAACUUCAUAAAUAUUCCAUCCGAUGAUCAUUUUACUGCAGGAGCAUGAUUUCUAUAAUUGAAAUUACAGAACAUAUAUAGAAAAAUUAAAUUGCAGCUGUAUAAAUAUUUCUUCUUCACCAAUGAAAAAAAGUUUUUAUAAUUUUUUUGUCAUCUAAAAAUCAUCUUUGUUACACGUUUCUUUACUGUUAUAAAAAAAUGACUCUACGUAUGUUUACAUUUUACUAGAUUAUUUAGCAUAUACCAUCUAAUAGUCACUGACUUAACAUAAAAAGUAUUGCAAUUUGAUAGAAAAGAAACUACGGUGUAACCUGCCUAAUCCGACUCCUGAGUAUUCCAACAUCCUGCUUUAACCAACACUUUUUCUUGGUCUAAAAAUAUGCCUAUCCUUGCAGAAAAAAAAACUCAGUAUUUCGACACUCUGCUUUAACUUUCAUGUUUACCACUCAAAACUCUUCGGAGAAGUAAAAACUUGUAUGUAGAUGCUUCAACUUUAGAUCUUUGUUUAAAUUUAAAGAUUUUCCGUCCAGCCUAUCAGUAAACCCAUCAUAGAUACCAUGAUUCAAUUUUGUAUUUCAUCCGGACGCGGGUUUCGUCUACAAAACACUCAUCAGUGACACUCGAAUUCAAAAAAAGUUAACAAGGCCAAAUAAAGUACGACGUUGAAGAGCAUUGAGGACCAAAAUUUCUAAACGUUUUGCCAAACACAGCUAAGGUAAUCAAUUCCUGAGAUAGAAAAGCCUUAGUAUUUCAAAAAUUCAAAAGUUGUGUAAACAGAUAAUUUAUAAAUACAUGAAAUAUGACCAUAUCAAUGAUAAAUCAUGUCAGCACAGAAGUGCUGCCUACUUGGCUGGUGAUACCCUCGGAUAAUUAAAACUCAACCAGGAGUUACUUUUUACGCCAGACGCACGUUUCGUCUACAAAAGACUCAUCAGUGACGCUUGAAUAAAAAAAAAAGUUUAAAAGGUCAGAUAAAGAACUAGUAGUACGAAGUUAAAGAGCAUGUAGUUGCACCUUUUUGCAGUUGACACCAUUGCUGUGUUAAAAAGUUAUUUGCCACUGGUGGUAUAUAUUAAAAUGUACGGUGAAAUAAGUACUCGGUAGGAGUGGAUUCCAACAUCUCAAAAUAAAAGACGCAGGAAUCGAUGAAGAACAUAUCUUAUUUAUUUUCAAAUCGAAACGGCUGAUAACUUAUUUGAACUGUUUGUUUAAAAGUUUUGGUUCUAAAAUUACUAUGCAGAAUAAUCCAAACAGCAAACUAUGUUAUUUUUACCAACAACAAAAAUUAAUUCCUAAAUUUAACACUCUAAAGAUCCGGGGAACUAAGUUGAUGGAAAGUAACAAACAUAUGACGAAACGUUCGUCUGGUGUACGCGAGUAUAAGCCUGGAGUCGGUUUCACAAAAAUACUUAAGACUAAGAUUGAACGUUAGUCAUGAACAAGGUUUUUUUUGUGAAAUCGACCCCUGGAGUCUUUGAAGAGUGUUUAUGUUUGCCAAGGCCGCGUUAAGUGUUCCAAUGGCGAAACAACAUUACUUUUCAAGUUGUUAUCUACAAUACGUUAACAUUAGUUAUAUAUUACAUAUAAAAAGUUUUAAAGUUUGCUAAUUGUAUAAUUCAGCAAUCGAUGGUCAAAAUGAGUGCUCGGCAACAGGGUAUCAACUGAUGGUAAAGUGUUAAGCGCUAAGUCGUAGGUCAGACACUAGUACCUAUGUUUAUCAAACACAACUUACUUGUAUAUAGAAGUUAAAUUAUUUGUCUAGUUAAUGAUAAUUUUACGAACUAAUCCAUUCUCAUUGUAUCUGUCUGACUAAAACUAUUACAUCAUGCUAGUGACAUUAUGAAUUUUGCUCUCUUUUGAUAAGUCUUACUUAUAAGGAUUUUGACUAAACAGAAACAAUAUCAUAAAAAGUCACCGAAUAAAAAGUUGAUCGGCAUUUUGUUCACAGACAAAACACGUUGCGACCUUUAAAUUUUAAAUGUAAACCUGGAAUACCAUAGAUAGCUUUACAAUUGAUGAUGCAUUAUUAACGUAUUGUAAGUUCAUUAUUCAAAAUCUUAGUUAUUUAAGUUUUGAUCAUCAGUAUAUUGUGUUUGGUUCUUUUAAUUAUAUCAUUAAUUCAUUUUCCAGGUAUUUGUCACUAACAAUUGUUAAACGAAGAAAAUGAAGUACUUUGCCGUUGUGUUGGUACUAUCACUCUGUACUGCAGGUAAAAUGAUAUAUACAUACUAUAUGGAUGUCUAAGAAAGACUUACCAGCAAAUUUCUUAUGUACCGGAUCCGUCAUGUACUUUUUUUCUUUUAGCUAUGGUGUUGUCAAUGUGAUGUUUCCUUAUAUGAGUAUAAAUAUCCCUCUGGUAUCUUUUGACUCUCUUACGAAGUACCGAUUAUUGUGGUUUUCUGCAUAUUGAUAUUGUAAAAUAUCAGCUGCCAGUCACAAUGAAGUGAUUUGUUGUUUGUAUUUGUGUAAUUUUAUUUGUUAACACAUAUAAGUGUUUUCUUUGUUUUUUUAACAUUAUUGCAUCGCUGAUAUGUCUUCGUCAAAGUUAUUAAGGCCGGAUCAUCGUAUAUGACGUAACAAAGUCGUGGUGUGCAAUUUAAUUUUUAGAGCUGAGCAGAGUGAUACAGACAGUGAGACCGCCGAAAAUAGGUGAUAUUGCGCAGAUAAAAAACAUUUUAUGAAGUCGCAUUUGCGCAAAAAUACUUAUAUACGAUGGUUAUGUACGAAGAGAAUGUUAUAAAAUCGUAUUGACCAUCAUUUCGGAUGAAAAUAAGUAAAAUUCGUCAGUGAUUUAAAUCUAAAUUCUUGAAUUUCACAAAAUUAAACAAAACUCAAUAUUAAAUUAUCAAUGUAUCAUUUAACACAAUUUGUAGUGGAAGCGGUAAAAAAAUGGAUUCACUAUGAAUGAAGCUUCAUAAGGGGGCUCGGGCACCCACCUCAAUCCGUCCUGCACAUUUCUUUAGAUAAUAACAAUGAAACCUACCCAGAGGUCACAUGCAGUGUUAGUAUAAUCUGAUGCAUAUCAACCAAGUUGAAGAGAGAUUUUUUAUACAUAGAUGACUAUCUUUAUGCUUCAAAAGACAGUCGUUCGACAACAAGCUCAGACAAAUAUUGCUAACAGACGAGCGAGGACGAGUAAGGAGCUCAAACUUUAAUAAAAGGGGGAAGCCAAGUUAGCGUAUAGACAUAUUAUGCAUCGUUCUGAUGAGGUUAACACUUAGUUUGAUAUUUGGUUAUUUGUGAUGGCGCUUUCAUAUUUCGAAAAUAUUCAGUGGUGUCAGUUCUUGAUGAAAAACUUAGUUUUUUCAAAUCUUAACAGCUGCAUCCAUAGACAAAUCCCGACAAAACUUCCUAUUAAGGUCACUUCUAUAUAAACCUCGUCUUGAUGGUCCAUAUAUGAAGGCAUGAGUGCUUAAAGUAUAUGAUUAGGAAGAUGUGGUGUGAGUGCAAUGAGAUAACUCUCCAUCCAAAUAACAGUUUAUAAAAGUAAACCAUUAUUGGUCAAUGUACGGCCUUCAGCACGGAUCCUUGGCUCACACCGAACAACAAGCUAAACUUAGUGUAAACCAAUAUCCACUUUCGUUACAGUAUUUUCGUUGAAACUUGAUUUGAACUUCAUCAUUCGAUUAUUAUGUGCAUGAAUUAUAAAUUUUACGCAUUAGAAUAGAUUACUAGAACCUACGGAAGCAUAGCCAUAAUGCAACAACCAGAAUUUCCGACAGUUCACUGAGAAAGAUGAUGGUCCAAUAUACAUCCCUAAUGUAAUACAUUAAUAUUGUACUAUAUACAUCGUGAAUUUAUAGAGGGGUCUAAUACCAAUAGGUCUUCGACAGAUCGAGAUAAUCCCGCACCGGAGGCGCCGUAAAAAAUAUGUAAUAGUUCAGUUAAAUGGACGUCAAACUAAACUCCUACGCAUAUAAAUGAACUAACUUUUAAAAAAAAUCAUACAAGACUAUAAACACAGGCCUGAGGGUCUUGACUUGGACCAGGCGCAACACUGCGGCGGGAUUAAAUAUGUUUAAUGAGAUUUCAACCCUCCCCUCUACAUCUAGCCAAUGAAGAUUAAACAAACACACAGCAAAUGCAAAGUAACCUCGGUUUAAAAGAAGUCCAGUAUUUUUUCUGCAAAAAGAAAUCAGAAUCGAACACUUAAUAACUUUAUGAUAACACGGGUCGUGAAAUUUCAAAACUUCUUCGGCCAAAAUAAAUCGCAAAUUUUACAUAUGUCCCGACGCCACACGUCAUUCAAUUUUGAGCAGUAUACGUGAGUCGAACCACAAUAAAAAAAAAAGGUCGUUUCUAUGAAAAAGCUUAUCAUCAACGGUACAUGUCUAUAGGUAUAUUUUUUUCAGAUUAUCUAAGUACCCGCGCGCCGGAGAAAAAGCAUGCUGUCGAAUUAUAGGACCGUCGGAUUAGAAGAUUGUUGAAUUUUAGGUCCGACCACAGACAUCUAUUUGAGUUCAAUAAAAUUGAACCUGUUUUUUUUCGAUUUAUCACAUUUGACCCGGCAAGACAUUUUAAUUUUUAUUUAUGAAUGUGUUAUAAUAAUCAAUAUAUUUCGAUCGAUUUGUAACCUGGGUAUUAACAUUCAUAUAUAUUUUGUGCGGGUUAAAACGUAUCAAAUACCGUGAGUUAUAUUUUAGGAAACCGGACACCUGGCCUAAAACACACUAUACUUUUAAUAUUUUAAUCUCCUUAUUAUCUAAUUACUUUAUUAUUUAUUCUUAAUUUUACCGAGAUCAAGUACGCUUCACAUGUUGUGUUUACUUUAAUUGCAUGAGGUCUGAGAGAUGAUGUAUAUCUUUUUUUUUUUACGGUUGUAAUGGCGAUCGCUACUACCACGACGCCUAGGAGUCGCAUCACAAACUAAGGCAGAUAAUUGUAAAAACCUGUCUAUAAGUUUGAAAUUGGUAUAUCAUGUAUAAAUUAUUUUUUCGGAUUAUAAAAGUUCGACUUAGUGCAUUUACACAUGUCUUGUUAACGACCUUUUGCUGCCUUCUUAUGUAAUUUUCAGUUUAAUGUUGUUCAUGUUGCACUUGUUGACACUCACCCAUACUCCGUUUUGAUGUCAUUACUUAAAGGUUGAUAUUGCUCUUUCUUUUUGACUGUCAGUUUCUUUCAAAUUACCUUUGCCUUUUCAAAUAGAACUUUCAAAAAUUCAAAAAGCACAUGGAACGCUUAAUUUAAUAAACUGAUUAUACAGCUGAUAUGAACACCCAUUUGUUACCUCUGUAGCUUCGGCCGAAUACAAAAAAAUGACUAUUCAUUUGAAUGAAAAAAUGAAAACUUGGGCUACGCAUGUAAGUCGAUUUCUGUCUGCAAUUGAGAGGGAAAAGAUAGCAGUGCUGCACUCUCUUUUCUUUUUGUGUUUGAGGAAAAUUGUUUACUUAACAAAAGGUCGUUUCAAAGAACCACAAUUUUAAGUCAUCAUAUGGACAACUUUUUGAUGAUCAAUGUGUAGUAUGAGUAUUUCAUAUCUCAUUAAAUUUAAAUUAGCGCUGUUACAUAUACAGAUAAAUAUUGAUCAAAUUAGUUUGGUUAAUGAAGAAAUUUGUAUGCCACAUAUAUCAAAUUAGCAAUCACUGUUUUAAAUGACACAGGUGUGCAUGCUGCAAGUGAGAAGAUGACCAGCUGGGGAUUCGAUCUCUUAUGCCCUCAUUCAUCUGAUAUAUGUAACUGUGCGUGUCAAUCAUGGGNNNNNNNNNNNNNNNNNNNNNNNNNNNNNNNNNNNNNNNNNNNNNNNNNNNNNNNNNNNNNNNNNNNNNNNNNNNNNNNNNNNNNNNNNNNNNNNNNNNNNNNNNNNNNNNNNNNNNNNNNNNNNNNNNNNNNNNNNNNNN